rnacentral:rRNA from 1 species
AUUGAACGCUGGCGGCAUGCUUUACACAUGCAAGUCGAACGGCAGCGCGGGGGCAACCCUGGCGGCGAGUGGCGAACGGGUGAGUAAUGUAUCGGAACGUAUCCUGUAAUGGGGAUAACCAGUCGAAAGAUUGGGUAAUACCGCAUACGCACGAGAGUGGAAAGUAGGGGAUCGCAAGACCUUACGUUAUAGGAGCGGCCGAUAUCUGAUUAGCUAGUUGGUGGGUAAAGGCCUACCAAGGCGACGAUCAGUAGCUGGUCUGAGAGGAUGAUCAGCCACACUGGGACUGAGACACGGCCCAGACUCCUACGGGAGGCAGCAGUGGGGAAUUUUGGACAAUGGGCGAAAGCCUGAUCCAGCCAUGCCGCGU